rnacentral:rRNA from 1 species
UACGAAGGGGGCUAGCGUUGUUCGGAAUUACUGGGCGUAAAGCGCGCGCAGGCGGUUUUUCAAGUCGGGGGUGAAAGCCCGGAGCUCAACUCCGGAACUGCCAUUGAAACUGUUGGACUUGAGGACGAGAGAGGUGAGUGGAAUUCCCAGUGUAGAGGUGAAAUUCGUAGAUAUUGGGAAGAACACCAGUGGCGAAGGCGGCUCACUGGCUCGUAUCUGACGCUCAGGCGCGAUAGCGUGGGGAUCAAACAGG